UACGUAGGGUGCGAGCGUUAAUCGGAAUUACUGGGCGUAAAGCGUGCGCAGGCGGUUUUGUAAGCCAGAUGUGAAAUCCCCGGGCUUAACCUGGGAAUGGCAUUUGGGACUGCAAGGCUCGAGUGCGGCAGAGGAGACUGGAAUUCCUGGUGUAGCAGUGAAAUGCGUAGAGAUGUGGAGGAAUACCGAUGGCGAAGGCAGCCCCCUGGGAUAACACUGACGCUCAUGCACGAAAGCGUGGGGAGCAAACAGG
rnacentral:rRNA from 1 species